UGUCUCCUCCACCUCCUCCUUUGGUGGAUUAAACCCGAACCACUCGUUCGGGUUUUUUUUC
rnacentral:ncRNA from 10 species